AUUUAAAAAAAAAAAUCAAAAAUUGCUACUGCUUGACUCGUCCUGAGGAACCUGCAAGCUUCUUUAAGCUUCUACAGCCCGAUGCUCUGAGCAGUAUGUUCCUGCCUUAUGUUAUCAUUAGGCCAGGAAAUGUCCUCUGAGUGGCACCAUCUUUUGAUUUGUACAUCCCAAAUUUGAAGUCUGUCCAUCACUACUGACUUUUAUUAGUUUUCUGAGUUAGGCUUGUUAGGAGCAUGUAUCACCACGGCUUUGCAGACUACUCCUGCAUCUUCCAGCUUGCUACUAAAAUUCUUUGCAGGAGUCUAAACCAGACAAACUCACCUCACAGCUCUUCAGGUAUCUAUUCCACCACCAGGGUAUUUAUUGGCACACGAGACAACUUGUGCCUGCUCAUAAAUCCCUUUCAACAAAGAAGCAAUAUUUAAAGAUUUAAAAUUAGAGCAUUAGCGAUACAAAGGGAAAGCGGAACAGGUUUGUCCAUGCCCUGCUGUACCUGGAACAGGAUGAUCUUACUGUAACGUUACGUUUAUUUUAUUUAUCCCACUCUUAGCAGGAGCCUAUGGCAAAAGCUGCUGCACUAGCAUUUUCCUUCAAGGUGCAUUGAGCUUACAGGAGGUGUUUAUGGCAUACAACAGGAUAUGUGGACCUUGCUGAAUAGUGGACUGGGAUGUAAUUGGACAGGGAUAUAAUUUUUCCAGUUCAUUCUAAUAAUGAAUAUUUAGGUAUAAUUUCCUCAUCUGAAUGUUCAUCAGUUUGGGCUAAUACUUCGUUAAACUUCCAGAUGGAGAGCAAAAUACUUCUAAUAACUGUAAUAGUUAUCACGGCUCACAUUGCUUCUGUGGUAGGGCACAUUUGAAGAAGUCUGCAGGAAGCUCUCGCUGUUUCUUCUCGGUAUUUUUUCCAAUGGAUGUUAGCAUUCAUUAUGGAAAACAUGCAUCCCAUUUCUAAUAUACAUGUAUGUAACGUUUCUUUCUUGUUUGCCUUUUAUUGAUAUAAACUGGCAAGGUUUUUUCUUAAAGGGCUGAUUUUGGCUGCUUUAUUCACAUCUAACAGGUAGCUACGCAGAACAGAGUCUGUCACCCAUAAUGGGAAAUUUGGGAUUUUUUUUAUUUACCUGUUUAAAUUCAUGUGAAUGUUAUUAAAGUACAAAAUAAAUAGUGGUGGGACAUACUAAUAUCUUAAAUUAUCAAGAUUAAAACUACCAGAUACUAAGUGACGCACAAUUUCUCAUUGUUGUGUCCUGAAUAAGCCUGAAGGGAUCCUGAAGGGAAGUGGAAGCUCUGGAUUCUUUUAAGAAUCAGUAACUAAAACCCAUAUGUUUUGGGGGAACAAAACAAGGACUGUUUGGUGUUUUUCACUGAAACCAGCACAAAUGUUAUGAGUUCUGAAAGUACAAAAACGCAUUUUUUUCUUCUUCUUCAUCACAUAGCAUGCCAGCUGUUGAUGACGAAAGUUGGAAAAAAAAACAACCCUAUAGUUUUCAGAUCUCAUAUUAUUUGCAUGUAAUCAGAGUGAAAGAUAAUCCUGUAGCACAGCAGGAAUAUCAUUUUGCAAAGUCUUUGCUCAGUCAAAAUGUUGUUUGCGACUAGACUUCGUAUAAUGAGGUCAAAUAAACCCUUCUGUUGGCCGAGGUAUUUUUAUUUCUUGUCUAGAGUAGAGGCGAGGGAGGAAGAGAAGCAAAGGAGAACCAAGACAAGAAUUUGUCAGUAUAUAUAAAUCAGUCAUAAAAAUCACAUGUGUAUCAAACACAUCUGGUCGUGGUCUUUUAGCUUGAAACUCAGGAUAAAAUAUUGACUCACUGGGGUCAGAAAAGAGCAAAGGCAACUCAAGCCAAAUCCAUUGUCAGCAAGUAUGUCUCCAAAUAUAGACUAGUUUAAUUGUCUGUCCUUGUUAGGCCUGUUUUCUAGAAUUUAAAAAUAGCUGCAAGCUCUCUUUAAUCAAAACUUGCAAAAUACAAUCCAGCAGCGACCUUUGUUAAGUAUCCUGCUGCAGGUCUGUGUUGUCCUGGUGGUCACAGUGGGACAAAUGUAUGAAUUUUCCCAAAUGCCUUUUGGACAGUUGGGAUGCCACAGGUCGUCUUGGCAUAUAAACGAGUGGCAGUCAUGGUAGUGACAAAGCUCAAAGUUGGUCCAAAAGAAUAUUGUUUAUUCUUUUUCAUUACUGUAUUCAUAUAUAUGAUUUUUUUUAGUGCUUUUCCUACUUAUAUAGUCAUUAAGAGCUUUAAAAAAUAAUUGAACUGUUGUUUCUCCAACUGUUUAAUAAAUAAACUAAUGCCUGUAGUUAGACAUUAUGUAAUCGGGCCAAAUCUUAUUUGAACGUCAAUCUGUAUCAUGCUGCUAAUUUCAGUGAGAAAGACUCAUUAGAAUUGGUACCCAAAUUGGAGCUAUGCUGUUUAAAAGUAGCUGAUGGUAUAGCCCAAGAGGAAUAGAAAUGUGAUUAGACAUGUUUACAAUGUCCUCUGAAAUGAAAUAAAAUUAUUGAGAAAACUCCUGGAGGCAGGAAAAUAUUACAUUAUCUCCACAUAUUGUAUUGUCUUCAGAAAUGACUCUAAAGCAAGAAUGACUCAUUUUGGAAAACAAAGGAUGUAAUGAAAUACCCAUGAAAAGUCAGAAAACUGGAUGGUUACAAUGACAACUAUAAAUAGAUUUCUAUGAGCUUAAUAGGGGAUUUCAGUGAAACACCCAGGUGCUGAAUAGGGCAAGUCACUAGCUAUCUUGGGAGAUGGGGUUGCUUGAGCUUGAUUUAGUGGAAUAAUUAGGAAUUUUCUAUUAAAAAGAACUGUUACAGUGCAGUCCUAGCCGUGGUUACUGUUACCCCCCUGCAUCUCUCUUCAUAUUGUCUUGCUUGUAACUUUUCCUUGUGCAUUGCAGGCUGGUAAAUGCCCACAAGUAUUGUACCUUGCUGCUUGAUUAAAGUAAAUGAGGGUAGUGGAGGAGUAGGAAAAAAAUCCUGUGAGAUAAACUCCGUUCCUAAAUGGUCAGCAGCUCAUUCAACACUGGACCAGUGCUUCUUAAAGAUCAGCUCAUUGUCAGUCAUUUCUAACAACAUCAAGGCAAUCAGAGGUAUGGGAUAUACUUACAGGUAUAUGGUCUUCCUUUGCCUGAGACAACUCAAAAUCAAGUUAACUUUUUUUUUCUUGCCUCAAAUGUUUUAUUUCAGAUCUCCCUUUAUUCCGCAGUCAUUUAGAAAGCUGUCUUAAAUAAGCUCUUCAGCAUUUUUACCUCUUCACUCAGUCCCACUGGAAAUACUCAGUUAGUUUCUCUGAUCUUGCCCUGUGGCCAUGUGCCAGGAGCUCUGAUUUGGCAGUUUUUCCUCAGCCCUGGACUUCCUAACUGACACACCAUGAGAGGGGCACUCAUAAACAACCUCUAAUUAGGAAAAAAGUAGAGUCCUUCUCACAUGAUCAUUAGUUACUACACAAAAAAAAAAAAUAUUGGAACUCUAAAGUCAAACUUCUUUCCUCUCAGCUUGAAAAGUUCUUGUGUUUCUUACUUGCUAUUGUUCCAUGCUAUUUAUAACUUCUAGCUACCCAGGUGACCCUCAGUGUAGUUCCCCUGUUAGCUGAGAGGAACGUCAUUGUCUUCUUUCUUUCUAAAAUUACUUCAGUGUGCUUGAUCUUCUCUAUUUCCUCUUAUUAUUCUUCCCCAGUUCAUUGUUCCUGAUAUUGUUCCUAGACCGAGUUUAUUGAUUUCCUGUCUCUGUCCCUGUCUUUUGUUUAUUAAGAUGAUAUAUGUCUCAAGAUAAAGCCUAUAUUUUGUUACACAUAUUGGAUCUGUGUUUGAUCUUGCAAGAGAAUUGCCAUCCCAAAUUUAAGAGCUGAAUCACAAACAGAGUUACUCUAGAAGAGCCACAUAUUAAUUGUAAGCUCACGUACCCGCGCCUACCUCAAGAUUUAAUGUUCUCGCUGCUAUGUAUAAACCUCACUUUUAAAUCAGAAUUUGGUAUCUCGUGUUUUUUUUUCCUCCGUGCUGCAGUUAGACUUCUCUGGACAAAGGCAGCCAGUGCUUGUCCUGCAGAAUUGAAUGGUCCUUGGUGUGAAGGCAGGGGAAGGCAGUGCACACACCAGUGAAAGCCCAGAUGAGUCAGAGGAGAUAGGGAGGAAAAGAGAUAGGGACCCAGAAGAGUGGGGAAAGGUGCAAAUGGAGAGGACUGUUGACUGGAGCAUCCUUAAGCUGACAUUGCUCACUCCUCAUUUGUUCAGGAACACCCCAGGGUGUUCCCCAGAGCACCCUGCUGGAGGCAGGGCCUGGAGCCCCUCGUGUGGUCACUGAUGGACUUCAGCGGGGCCACGGCACGGCUUCAGGACGUGAUCUAACCAGUCAAAAACAAAGGAUAACUCAGCCCAUGUGUCCAUGUUAGUGUUGCACGGCUGGAUAAUGUUGACUUCAGUGGAAUUUUGCUCCAGCAGAGCUUUGCUCCAGUCAUGGUACUCUCUUUGGAAAGACAAACAUGAAUGUAUACUCAUAUCCUGAACGCAAGUUAAUUGAGUUAGAUAAGGCAAGAGAAGGUAAAUAUAAGUAAUUCUAUAGAGCAGGAUGCCAGCUGAUCUUGUGAUCUGAUAGGUCACUUCUCAUUAUUUGUUCUGCUAAAAGGAAAACUUGUGCAUUUCUUUGCAAUGUUUGUGAAUGGGUUCAUGUAUUUGUCUUUGCGUUUUUCUGCCACGGUGCCAUAAAUGAGAUAAGGAGUGAUUCAUGCGCCCCGUUAACAUGAGCACUGAGUGACGCGCCGACUGCUCCCACUGAAGCGAUGAAUAUAGCAGGAGGAAGAUGUGUUAUGUGUACAGUAUGCAAAAGGAUCUGUGGGGAGGCGAGGAUGUUUACGCAGCCAUAAAGAGAACAGGUGUGAGGGGGACCCCAAAUGAAAUCCAACAUCCUGUUUAUCAAAGGAAGUUUUUUCAUGGAACAUUGGUGUCCUUGUGCUCGUAUCUCUCCGCACAAGAGAAAUGGAGAUCAAUCAUAAAAAUAGCUGCAGUAUCAAGCUGCCUUCCUGGAUGCUGCUCUGCAUGGGAGUGGCUGAAAGGCUUUGCUCGGGCAGCGGUGUAACCGUGUGGUUGGGUCCCGGGAGGGAGGCCUGCUUUAUCUCGACGCGAUAGAAGAAUUUCCAUCUGCUCAGUUGGAGCAGAAUCCCUUUGUUUCUGACGAUCCUUGGCAUAGCGUUGACACUAGAACUGCAAUUUUCCAUUGUUGUUUUGGCCCUCGGAUAACUUCUUUUAUGGACAAGAGCUUACUAGCUGCACAUUUUCUAUUUAACGAAACUGGCAUUCUGCCACGUUGGCUUUCCUGCUGCGUUUUCAUUAGCAUGCCGUGAGGCUUUGGCUGUACAUAGAAGACACGAGGCCUUGCUGAGUGGCACUGAAGGGUUAUGUCCUGGCCACUGGAGAGCUCUAGAGUUAACCCUACAUGAAGUACUUCUCCGUGUUUUCCAAAUCAAAAUUAGAGAUGGAAACCUUGUUUGUUUCUUUCAGGUCAGCGAAAGUCAUCCCAGACUCCCAGAGGUUGAAGAGCAUUUUUUCCAUUUUGUAUUUAAUGACAAGCAAUAAAUAUUCUAUUAAGCCCUACUGGAGCUGUUGUAACAGCAGCACAGAGGUUACAGUGCGUCUGUGCAGCCUUGCGAACGGUUUUAUUCACAAUGCGCAAGGUAGAAUAAAACCACGUUCCCUAAUUCAUUCCUGCUAAAAUCAGCAGGGGACAGAUGCUGGCCGACUGUUGCAUGGGCUGCCUGGUGCAGCGGGUGAUGGGGUGUGCAGGGUCAGGAUCCUUGGGACAGCGGUAGCUGGGGUGGGCGAGCAGGACAGGAAUGAUAGGAGGGGGGGGGAAGGAGCCACAGCUGCAUCCUGCUGGGGCAGUCAUUUUGCAGAAAGUGAACUUAUGGUUUUAAGUUGGCUCAGCCAUCGAGCACUUAGAGAUUUAAACUAUUUUUUGUUGUUAUUAAAAAAAAAAAAAAUCACUGCUGACAAAAAUAUAUAUAUAUAUUCAUACAUAAUUUUGCUGGUUUUAGGCACAUUCUACUGUUCUGUUUGUGCAUGGUAAAAACAAUAGCUUUUUUUCCCCCGAAUAAUGACAAUAACGAAGUACCUUCAAUAACAAGCCACGCAACUUUAUAUAUGUUGUGAAGCUAUUCAGGUUGUGUUUGCCAAAUAUAACCCCUGACUGAACUUUAAAAUGUCUGCUUCUAGAAGUACAAGCAAAAGCCUUUUUAUAGCAGCCUCCUGACAAGGAGAAUUUAUGUAUUUCACAGUAUAGAAAAUCCUGGAGGCAGCGUUAUUUUUAGCUGUGUAACCUUUAAGCAUAUUAAUCUAUAUACCAGUAAAUUAGUUUUUAACAGGUGAAUGACUUAAUAUAGCAAGGCAGAUGAAUUACAGAUGUGGAUAAUGUCUGUCCAAACUGCUUUUUUCCUGGCUUUAGAUUAUUCAUCUGGAAUGGCUAGAAGCCAGCUCUGGGAAUUAUUGAUAAAAAUGAGUUAAGAAUAGAUUAGAACAUUUCCCUUGUGAAGUAUAAUGUUUCUCUGUUGACUGCAUUUUCCAUCUUCCAUUAAGCACUACAAGCCAGAUUGUUUUUAACCUGAUUUUAAACUAUUCAUGUUCUAUUUAAAAUAUAUUACUAUAAAUGCUUGAGUUCCUUAUUACAGAGUGAAGGAUGUUCUUUUCGAAGAAAUAACAUUAUUAUAAGCAAAAAGAGAAACAUUUCAGCUUUUCGCUUAGGGUUUUAUUUUUAUUUUUGUCUGUGGAGAAAUAAAAUCUCUGCUCUCCUAAGGACUUGCCUUCUCCCUGAGCUGGGUAGCUGAAAGGUGUGAUACCCAUUAAUUUUAGUCUGUGGUGCAAAUGCAGCUCUCUGAGUGUUCAGGCUUUUAGAACAGCCGUGGUUUUGUGUAGUUUCUUUGUUCUGUUCCUCUUUUCUCACCUUUGUUCUUAUUUCUAAUACAUCCAGAUUCCUGAGAAGAUUAAAAAGGUCUUUGACCUGUACGGAAAGUUGAAGGGAUGGAGUUACAUGCAGGGAAGUAAUUUGAAAUGUGAUAACAAAAAAUAAAUGCAUAAGUAUCCAUUCUAAAGCAUAAAAUAAAUGAGUUUCUGAAGUCUGUACUGUGAUGUAAUAAAUGUGAAAUGACUCCAUCCCUGUGAAGUUCAUAAGGGCUCCACUGUAACUCCGUGACAUUGUGAAUGCUUUGUUGCAUUUAAAAAAAUAAUAAAAAAAAUAAUAAUAAUAAAAAAGUUUUUAAUACUGAGAUUCCCCAAAUCCUGAAGGUUCUUAUGCAACAGAAGCUGGACUGCUCGAGUCCUUGGUUACGCCACUUCUCAUCUGUGGUAAGGAAAAACUGGUUUAAAAAAAAAAAAAAAGUAAUGGUGAAGACUGGAGUGUUCUGCACCAGGAGGGAAGUGAAAGGACAGCAGGCACUAAAUGUGCAAGGGGUUAAGGAUUCAGCUGUGAACUCUGACCUGUCUUCUUGUCAUCCUCACUUUUUUUUUUCCCCUGGUGUGUAAUGAAUAUAGUUCUUUCUCUUCUACAUAUUGGCAGUUAUUGCAGUAAUUUCCACAAAUGUUUUUUCAAUCCUAAAAGUUUUCUGUUCUGUACUACAUUUUCAUGCUAUUUUUAACUGUUAGAUGACUGUAAAACAAACUGCAUUUCAUCAGCUGUGCUGGUAAUACAAGAGGAGGCAUCUUCCUAAACCUUCUCUUUCCUGGCAGCCUCAUCACUUGUGAUCUUUUUCCAGCUCUAAUUUUCUCGGCUAUUGGAUACUGUGGGUAACUGGAUGAUGUGAGUAAAGAAGGUUUGUCUUUGGACAAAGUGGAGGUUAUCUGAGGUGCAGGUUGCAUGUAUAAAGAUGCUGUAUUUUAAAAGUCCAGCCUUCUUAUUUCCAUCUCUCCUGUCAUUACAUUUGUCAUCUCUCCUACACACUCACGUGCACCCAGCAAAGCUGGAAGUGCCGUAAGAGUGUGAAGGUGCCUCUCAGUGAAACAUCAUUAUCUUGGCAGUCGUUAGUCUUUUAGAUCUUCUAGAAAAGAUUGGGUGAGAAACAUCACGUGGGAUCUAUGCGGGAAAUGUAAGCUGGGUGACAAAGCAAUCCAACAUAGGUAAUAUUUAUAGAAGCAAUGCAAUAAAUUAUCAGGGUUAACAAACGUAUAAUCACAGAAAUAGAGGGAAGUUGCAAGUAGAAGAUAGCUCCUCUGUGGUUUUAAACUGGCUCUAUCGCUCAGGAGAUUUUUCUGUUUGUUGGUGUGCUAAUUUCUGAUAACUAUUAUAUCGCUUGGCUUUUGCAGGUUUUUAAGACUACUGUUGUUAUUCCACCAAAUCUCCCGUCUUCUCAUCUUCCCUUAUUAUUCUUUAAGUUCCAGCCAAGGUAUAUCUUGGCUGCUGGGAUAAAAUGUUUGAGGUAUUCAGCAAGGCUUUCAGUGGCAGUCUAGCCAGUGGAGCAGCUCGGCAUGUUUCUGUUCCUCCUUCCCUGCCCUACCUCAUCGCUCCCCUCCCUUCCUCAGCUCCCUGGACUAUGCAGUCCUGCCCCUCCCUGGGACCACUUCUGAGCUGUGACUAACCUAGCUUAGCUUUCUAAAAAUAACACAAAAGCUAUCAUUCCCAGCUCAGUGGCGUUGUCCUGACUGGUGGGACCAUGGGCCUGGACUGGAAUUUCAGAACAAACUGACCUUCUCGCAGGGGCCAGGCACGAAGCUUUUUGCCAAAGCCCAGCCAUGGCAGCAGCCCACACGAACUCCCACCUCCCUGCAGAUCGUUCACAGGUCAUCUACAUUGAGGAGAGCUUUGGUGUGAUAAAAAGUGAGGUAAACCCAACAUAUCUAGGGCAGUUACACUCAUCUGAUCGGAUCCUACAGCCAAGUAGAUGGAGGUGCGAGGUGUGGCCUGCACAUUUCAGACAAGGCCUUUCCUCAGGGACUGGCUCAGUGUCCGUAAAUGCUCGCUGCCAGACACCACGGCUUGUCCCUGGAAGCCAAUGACGCCUGUCACGAGGUAAUGUGCUACUAAACGGGAUCGAAACUGUGGGUGCCCAACUAGCAGGAAUCAAGAAAAAACACCCUGAAACUGUUCAGGCCCUUUCACGCCACGUUCAGGAUUUCAUUGAAAAGGCCCUGAUGUACAAUAGCUGCACCCAUUUAAGCACAAAGUGUUUCACUGAAAAGUGAGAGACUCCCAUGCAGGGGAAGAAAGUACGGAGGUUGCAACACUCCCGGGGAGCUGUGAUGAAUUCAGCAGCCUGUUUCGACUCUGCGCUAGUUGUGAAACCAUCCUUUUGUCCUCAGCGAGGUGAGUUUUGCCUGCCCUUGCCCACCGGUGUGGCUGGUGAGAUGACAGGGAGCAGUGUCUGCGGUGCAGGCUGUGCUGUGCUGAGCAGGGCCCACAUUGCUGUGCUGUGCUCGCACACCUCACGGCAUCAAACCGAGGAUGCGGCUCCUGUUUCUGGCUCCUGUGUCGCCUCCCCAGCCUGCCCACAGGUUUUCUGUGGUGUGUCGUCGUUUUGGCAGUUUUGUUUAACCUUACUGGUCUGAAACUCUUAUGUUUGUAUAUCAGAAGGGGAGCACACCCCCCCUCUCUGUAGUGCUGUGUCCAUAAAUGGUAUUUAAAUUUAUAAACUGAGAAAAAUGGUUGCUAUUUUAAGCAGCUGCUUCUGGAAGUCUGGCUCUGACCCUCCACAGCGAGGUCUAAAUAAUAAUUUUUUGAAGUUCCACAGUGUUAGGGUUCUGCCAUCUGCAGCAGCAGAGGCUGCAAGCAGAGACAAUGACAUUGCACCACUUUAUGUUAGUCCUAAACGUUAAAUGUAAUCAUAAUUCAAAAACUAAAAAACUUUUACAUUUUAAGAGAAAGAGGAUUUACAUUGGAGGAGGAUGAGGAGGGGUUGGUAGCUUUGCAGUCUCUUGGACAUUUGGAAGUUUUAUUUCAGUAUUUGUUUUGCAACCACAGGUGCUGUAAGAAGAAAAUUGAAUUUGUCAUGUUAAGCCACAGCUCCAACAGCUGUGGGCUCAUGGACAAGGAAAGGAGAUUUCAGGAGCUAGAAGUGCUGCCUGAGGACAACGUACUUUUAAUCUGUGUGCAGCUCUAAAUCAGAAACACCUAGCCCUGCUUAAAGCAAAAUCUCCAGUCUUAAACUUUCAUUUUUCAUUUUUCCUUGCUGAAACCCUGUCAAAUAAUCUCACUACAGCAUAUUACUAAAUACCCGCUUAAUUAAUGUGCCACGAUUGAUUGCUGCCACUGCUAUGGCAGCAGCUAGGAGUUGUUUCCUAACCACCCGACUUUUACUGCUCUGCUUAGGAAGCUGUGUCACGAGGCAGUGUAAGUGACACCGCGCUGACAUCUGUGGCAGUGCAUGAUGACAUUAUUGAAUGAAUCAAAAGGGAAGGGCAAAUUUCAAUAUGUAUAUCCUGGUGUGCAGCAGUGACUGAUAUGGAAAAUAUUAAGAAGCGGCAUAAUGAGUGGUGUAAGUGGGAGUGCUGUGUGUACGUGGGACUUUGCUAAAAAAAAAAAAAAAAAAAAAAAAAA